CAUUGAGCUGUCUUUUUUUUUCUAAAAUCACAAAAACGUAAAAGCAAGAUUAUUUAGCCACAUAUUUCUCUUCCCAGGAAAAGUUUUUAUCGGAAAGACGAUAUUUUAACACAAUGGGAGUGACGCUGGAGCGAGUACAGAACAAGUUUGCCUGUAUUAUUGGAGAACUCUGCAGUGAGCCUGUCAUCUUGUCACAGUUCGCAAUAUGGGUGGACCUGAGGAUAGCAGAGUACAAGGCUAAAGGAGCUAUAUCACUAGAUUGUUCAGGAUGUGAUCCAGACCCAGCUUGGUUAAAGGGGCACGUAACUCAACAUCACAAACCAAAAGCAAGGGAGAAAACUAUGUCAUUAGCUCACUUGCCUCAGGAUGGUGAUGGGCCGGGCAUGAGUUUCCCCAGCAACCUUGAAACCUGUGAGAGAUUGUCUCCUGACAUUGUUGUUGUUAAGGAGGAAGCCGGGUCAGAGCACGAGGAAAAUUGCGCAGUUUAUUCUCCCCAUUUUCGAAGGAAAAGAAAUAUUUCAAGUACAAGUGGUGGAGAUGAUCCCUGCCAAUCAAAUGUGUUACGUUCCAAAAUCCCACGGUUAGCCGCGACAUCUGAGAGUCCACCCCUGGUGUUUGAGCCCGUAAACGAAAGCUUGAUGUCGAUAAUCGGCAACAGUGACCAAGGAGGACAUGAAGUGAGCACAGAACCUGAGGGAACAGUGACUGUUCCUCAUGUGAAUAAUUUAUUCAUGAACAGAUACCACACACCAGCCUCAAGCGAAGACACAGUUACAGUCAACGUAGAUUCUCAAGAGGCAUACAAUAACAGCAGAGGUGAGAGCGGUUCAGCGGUGGACAGAAAUCCGCUGUUCUCGGCGUGUUAUGGGGACAUUGUAACGCACAGUCACACUAGAACACCGAACAUUGCCGCCCUGAGGUCUAGAAUUCUGAACCAGGAUCAAAAAGCUAGUUCUACUGUACGUAAUAUGGUGGCCGCUGUAGCCAGCUUUGAACGUUGGUUGUCUGCGAGUCAUCCAGAAGAAACGCGCUGUGUAGAACACAUCCCUCCACCGGAACUGGACCCUUACCUGGCUGAUUUUUUUCUUAACGUGAAGCAACCGUCAGGACAAGAUUACAAAGUAGACUCCUUCAGACAGAUCCGUUACAACCUGGACAAGUUUCUUCAGGAUCACAGCUACCCUUGUACGCUCACGGAUUCCAGUGAGUUCAAGGAGACCCGUCUGGCCUUCCGAAAAAGACUGGCUUAUUUAGGAAACGUAGACGCUCUCCGACAGCAUGGGGCACAUCUGUUUUCAUCCAGCGUGCCUUCUUCGACUUCUGAUAGUGAUGUGACUCCAUCGGAGAAAACCGCUGAUUCUUCAGCAAAUUAACUGCCACUAGCAUGAUUUCUAAAACUGAUGUGAAUUAUUUCAUCAACAGUAAUCUGGCCAUUUUAGCCCGCUUUAAAACAGGCCAUGUGCUAUUGUGUUAUUUUCAGCAAAGUCAAUCACUCCAGCUGGAGCGUGCAACGCUGAUUGGGACUUUCUAAGAGAAAUCUACGUUAUCUUCGGUAAAAUGCCUUCAUCCUGCUAACCAACCUGCAGUUGCGCUCGUCUGAGGGUUUUCCAGUACGCUUACAUGUAUGUGAUUUCCCAGAGAAGAACGGUGACUCUUCAGCGAUGUGAAUCGUUUCAAUGUUGGCAAGCGUGGGAUUUGCAGUGCCGGCGCCUUAUACGGAUGUCACCUCCUGACAGAGUAUUUUUCCCCCUCGCUCUAGUUAGCCAUUUUCCGAGAAGUGUAAACAUUCUUCAGCAACGCUUGGAAGUACAACGUUUGGUGGUAUAACUUUUCCCGAGAAGUGUAACCACCCUUCAGCAACGUUCGGAAGUGCAACGUUCGGUAUGAACUUCUUCCGAUAAGUGCAAUGAUUCUUCAGCAAACUGGCCAGCGCCAUUUGGCCAGGGUGAAGUUCGGAACUCCAGCGUCAGAUGGUGGUAUGACUUUCUCCCGAGAAGUGUGAUGAUUCUUCAGCAAACUGACUCGUGCCAUUUGGAACUGAAGGUCAAGAGGCCAACACACUCGCCAGCUUCCCAGCAUGCAGCGCGGUGUCGGGAUCCAGUGAACACUCUCAUUCAAUUCCAAGUGAUCGGAUGUUGAACGUUUCACGACUGAAAGCCAGAAUUUUAAACAAAGACCAAAAAGCUAGUUCUACUGUGCGAAACAUGGUUGCGGCCGUGGGAAGUUUUGAGAGAUGGUUGGCUGUGAGUCACCCGGAAGAUAAGCGCUAUGUUGAAAGCAUUCCUCCGCCAGAACUGAAUCUGUACCUCACGGACUUCUUUCUGACUGUCAAGCAACCGUCGGGACAAGAUUACAAAGUAGACUCCUUCAAAAAGAUCAAAUACAACUUGGAUAAAUUCCUUCAGGAUCACUCGUAUCCAUGUUCUUUAACGUCACAGGCAUUCACUGAGGCGAAUGUGGCUUUUAAACAACGACUUUUGGACUUAUCAAAGGACGCUUUACCUGCAGCGAAGGCUCUAUUGUCAAACUUUAGACAGCUGAGCUGACCGAUAAAGAUGUUUCAACUACCGUAUCAACUGUUGUUUGAAUCCAGUUCUUCCAAUAUUUGACUCCAUAAGGCUGGCUUCAUAUUUAUGGAAGGUUUUUUGACUUAGGUUAAAAAUUCAAAUCCAACCGAAAAUAACAUAUUUAGCCCUUGCCUGAGAAAUUUAACAUUUGCUCUCUGAUUGUUUUCUGCAAAACAAUGUAUUUACCACAAUUUGAGUUUAUUUCCUGUUCUCAGUUUGGCUUUUUAAUUUUUUGAAAUUUCUGACUUAAGUCUUAAGCUGUUAUUACUAUUAAUUAUUAUUAUUAAUACAUACCCUAAUACUUUAAUUUCAGACCAUAGCUUGUUGAUUGAUCUAAGGAGCUCGAUAUGACACAAGACAUUGACUAAAAAUUCCGUUGUCGUGCUACAUGGCAGCAU